rnacentral:lncRNA from 1 species
AGAUUACUGCAACACUUGAUUUCUCUUGGUCGUCUGUAUAUCGAAGACAACUCGAUCCUUGUUGAAAAGCUAGGGAUUGAAGCAGAGCAGUUGGUGCAAUUGCAAAUCCUGGAUUGCAAGAUUGAACGUCUGGAAUUAAGCAAGUGUGGAAGCCUUGUGAAGGUACCAGAAGGAUUGCAUCACCUUAGAUCACUUCAAGAGCUGCACAUAAGUGAAUGUUCAAGUCUUGUUUCUUUUCCGGAUGUUGGUCUGCCACCUUGUCUUCAAGAGCUGCACAUAAGUAAAUGUUCAAGUCUUGUUUCUUUUCCGGAUGUUGGUCUGCCACCUUGUCUCCAAGUCAUAGUGAUUCAUGACUGCGAAUCUCUUUCACACUUGAUGCAGCUCUUGAUCUAAGUCACACCCAGAAUAUUGGAAGAAUGAUCAAAAGUCAUUUCCCACACUCCCAGGUUGGUGGAUUCUGCCAUCUGGUUAUGUACAUUUUACCUAGCUGGAAUCUUCUUCUGACAUGUACCAUCUUCUCCUCCAGUAAUCCAUAAAGUUAGGUUUAGCUAAGAUACAACUUCUUUUCUGUCAUUGUGCAAGUAAAUAAGUAAUACUAUCUGACUUUUACAAAUCUCAAAAAGUUCAGAAAAUGUUUUAGGCAUAGCUGUGAUCUGGCAUAUCCACUGCUCUUUGACUGAUCAUCAUCCCUUGGCUGUUUGUAGAGUCUGGUAUUCUGGAGUUUGUAAUUCAAACCUCAUUCUACAAAAGAGCAGAUUGCAGCAUAACUUAUAAAGAUAAUAUGCGACUUCUACUUACCCAUUUUUCUUGUUUAUCACAUUUUUUUCAGUUCAUUGUGGUUUCACUGAAAGAGGGCAUGUUCAAUAAUGCUAAUGUCCUUUUCCGAACAAAGUUUGUGGAUGGAAUUUCAACUGUUCAAAGGACCGUUGCUAAACAAAACAAGUGAUGCUGGUACAUCUCCAAUCCCUUUACUAAAUGGCCCUUUCUACUGUUUUCUUUCCAUGUUUCCAUGCUCAUUUCAAUUGUAGCUUUGCGUUGAACACAAGUUGCUUCUUUGCUAUCAUAUCAAGUAUAACUUGUUCUGAUUUGUCGAACUUUUCUCUUUUGGUUCAGAUGUUUUACUUUACCAUGGUGAAUGAUCCUUUCCUGUGAGGGCUUAUCUAUCUUCAACGUAUGUAUGAGAAACUUCUUGUUUGUCUACUACAUGUGCUAGUUGGUUAUGCAAUCAAUCUCCAGCUUUCAUUUAGAUACAAGUGCAUAUGUAAAACUGUAUCAACUCUUGAGUAGUUUCAUGGUGGUGGCAUCCCAAUGUUGUGCUUGUUUCGAGCCUUGUGCUCAACCUGCAUAUAUUGUAGAGCGUCGAAUUUGUACGCCAAAUUUUCGAAUAAUUGUUGAAUUUGAAUGAUAUUGCCCAUAAGCCCAUCUCUGUGAAGACUAUCCAAUAAUUAUUCAAAUUCACCAAAAAAAAAAGGUGGUCCAAAUACGUUUUAUUGCCAAAAACGCAUCUUCCAAAAAUCAUUUACUAAACAUGGCCGUCUCCAGUUUAACAGAUGAAAACAUAGAUGCACACAUACAGUAAGUGUCAACGGUUACAGUAGAACACACACUUUUACCAGUUAAAAUGGUAAUUUCGGUGUCGGCAGGGUGAAACCUUUGUGUUCCAUCGCCUUUUCCCGUCAUUCCUGUUGAGUGGCUCACCUUUGUUUCAUCGACUUUUAGGAAAGUGCGAGUGGUUUUCAUAUCUAGACUUUUUGCCAGAGGAGCUUCUAUCCAUUCAUACUUGAACUAUACACACUGCACUGUAUCAUUAUUCAUCUAANNNNNNNNNNNNNNNNNNNNUGAACUAAUUAAACUGGAUCCGCUUACUAAUUUGUGCAGUAUAGCUGGAAUCAGAUCGAUCUGCAACAAGAAAGUCUGUCAUGAUCAUGAUCUCAGAGACUUGGCUCACCUUGUGGAAGAAUUAACGUUGCAAGUGUUUUAGUUGUGAUCUCACAGAAGAAAUAAUCAACUUUUCAUGUAAGUGCAUGUUUUCCGAUCUUGCAAAUUAAGGGAAACAAAUCAGAUUUAACACCCAUUUCAUUGUUUAAAUUAUUUUCUAGCAUGCAUGCAUCAACUAUAAUUGUACCUUAAUUAACUACUAGCUUCACUUUCUGCAGUUUUGAAUACAUCGAUUGUACAAAAAAGAAACGAUGGGGGAGGCUGUUCUUGGUGCAUUCCUCCCGGUGCUGCUUGAGAAGUUGGCGGAUCAAGAGAUCACUGAGUACUUCGGACGCCUUAAGGGGGUCGACAAAAAGGUGCUGGAGAAAUGGACUAGAACGUUGAGGGCCAUUGAAGCGGUGCUGAGUGAUGCUGAGGAGAAGCAACUAACACAAAGAGCAGUAAAAGACUGGCUGGAUGAUCUCAGAGAUUUGUCUUACGAUCUUCAAGAUGUAUUGGACAUAUUUGAUACUAAAAUGCUGAAGCGGAGGAUAGAAAGACAACAAGGAAACAAAAGCAAGUUAUGGAGCUCACUCUCUAAAGUUAAGUCCAAUUUUGGUCUGAACUCAGCAAUCAAGAAGAUAAGUGAUCGACUUGAGGAGAUAACCACUCGAGAGAAGCAGCUUGGUUUGAAGAAACUUGGAGUGUCUAAAAAGCCAUGGAAAAUGCCACCCACUACUUAUCAACUUGAUGGACCUGUGAUCGGAAGGGAUGAAGCAAAGGCUAAGAUUCUCUAUGAUUUGCUUUCAAAACAAGAGAAUUAUCAUGUGGUUGGUAUUGUCGGUACUGGAGGACUAGGAAAGACAACACUUGCUAAACAUGUAUUCAACGAUGCUGCAACUGGCCAGUUUUCCCCAAAAGGAUGGGUAUCUGUGUCAGACGACUUUGACAUUGUAAGGGUGGCAGCAGCCGUUUUGGAAUCAGUCACGUCCUCUCCAGUUCAGGAAUUCAAGGAGCUUAACUCAAUUCUGGAGAAGUUAAGUAAGGAAUUGGCUGGUAAGAAGUUUUUAAUUGUUCUUGAUGAUGUCUGGCACACUUGUAGCUAUAGUCAAUGGACUACACUGCAGGCCUCCUUUCGUGUUGGAGCAGCUGGAAGUAAGAUCAUCGUGACAACACGUGACGCCAAAGUCGCAAAUAUGAUGGGAGAUAGGAGCCCUUAUAACUUGAACCCGAUGUCAGAAGAUGAAUGUUGGAAACUCUUUCAGCACCAUGCACAGUUAAAAAACAGACCUGAAGAUGUUGAGUUCCUUAAAGAGAAAAUUGUAGAAAAAUGCAAUGGGUUACCGUUAGUUGCAAGGACUCUUGGUGGGCUUUUACGUUGUAAAGAAGUAGACGAAUGGGAAGACUUAUUAGACCACAAGAUGAGGACUCUAUCAGAUCAGAACAAGAAGGAAAUCCUUCCAGCAUUGAAACUGAGCUAUCAUUAUCUCCCUUCGACUUUGAAACGGUGUUUCUCCUACUGUGGAAUACUUCCAAAUGAUUAUGAAUUUGAGGAGAUGCAAUUGAUCCUUUGGUGGAUGGCAGAAGGUUUGAUUCCGCCCAAAGAACAUGAGCAAAUGGAAGAUUUGGGUCGUGACUAUUUUCAAGAGUUGGUGUCUAGAUCAUUGUUUCAAAAAUCAAGCAAAACAGAGUCGCGGUACAUAAUGCAUGACCUCGUUACUGAUUUGGCACGUUGGGCUGCAGGAAGUUCAUGUUGUAGAUUGGAGGACAUGCAGAAUUAUGACUCGCAGCAACAUACAUGUUUGCCCAAGGUUCGUCAUUCGUCUUACAUUCUUGGAAAGUAUGAUGGGGUUAAGAAGUUCGAGGUCUAUUCUGAAGCUACAUCUUUGCGAACGUUCUUACCACUUUCACCUUCAUAUUAUGUUCAUUAUCUGGCUCCGAAGGUUACUUCUGAUUUAUUUCCCAAACUCCAAUACUUACGACUCCUCUCUUUGAAAAGUUAUCGAAUAACCGAGUUGCCAGAUACAAUUGGUGAAUUGAAGCAUCUACGGUAUCUUGAUCUCUCCCACACUGGGAUAAGAAGUUUGCCAGACUCGACAACAACUCUGUACAACUUGCAGACAUUGUUAUUGAAACGUUGUCACGAGUUGAAGGCACUGCCCACAAGCAUGAGGAACCUAGUUAAUUUGCGUCAUCUCAACAAUUCAUUUACACGGUCAUUGGAAGAAAUGCCUCCUCAGCUUGGUCAAUUGACUAACCUCCAAACAUUGCCUGAGUUUGUUAUUGGCAAAGGUAGUGGAUCAGGAGUAAGAGAGAUCGAGUCAUUAUUGCAUCUGCAAGGGACAUUGCACAUCUCAAGACUAGAAAAUGUGAUUCGUGUCGAGGAUGCCAGGAGUGCCAACUUAAAGAGCAAGGAAAGGCUUGAAGCCCUAUUUCUUGAAUGGUCUUCUUCGAGUGUCUCAACAGAAGAUGCAGCAAUUGUGCUUGACAUGUUACAACCUCAUAGCAAGCUCAAAGAGCUCACCAUCAAAGGUUAUGGUGGAUUGAAAUUUUCAACAUGGAUUGGGAAUCCUUCAUUCACUAAAAUGGUGCGGGUAAAGUUAGAAGGUUGUAAUCAUUGUCAAUUGUUGCCACCAUUCGGACAGUUGCCUUGUCUCAAAGAACUUUGUAUACAAAAUAUGAAUGCAGUGGAGAGUGUUGGUGUUGAGUUUUAUGGAGAAGGUGACUUGCCGUUUCAAGCUUUAGAGACCCUGGAGUUACAUAAUCUGAAAAAUUGGAAGAAGUGGUAUCCUUGCCAACAAAGUGAGGGUGUUGAAGUUUUCUCUUGCCUGAAAAAGCUUUCCAUCAAGGACUGCUCCAAAUUGGAGGGUGAUUUACCGGAGAAUCUGGAUUCACUAGCACAGCUUGAGAUUUGCGGAUGUGAGGAAUUGGUGGUUUCAGUAGCCAAAUAUAAACAGCUUCACGGAUCAAACAUUGAAAAGUGCAAGAUGGUGGUGUACGACACAAGUACAGUUCAGUUUGAGUUACUAGAGAGUUUGACAUUUUCAAAUGUAUCAGAAUUGAGAUUCCAAACAGAGGCGUUCAUGAAAAGCUUGAAAAAUGUUAAAGAGUUGAAGAUCACUGGUUGUGAGGAGCUUACAUGUUGCUUUCAAAAUGACGAUAGAUUACUGCAACACUUGAUUUCUCUUGGUCGUCUGUGUAUCGAAGACAACUCGAUCCUUGUUGAAAAGCUAGGGAUUGAAGCAGAGCAGUUGGUGCAAUUGCAAAUCCUGGAUUGCAAUAUUGAACGUCUGGAAUUAAGCAAGUGUGGAAGCCUUGUGAAGGUACCAGAAGGAUUGCAUCACCUUAGAUCACUUCAAGGGCUGUACAUAAGUGAAUGUUCAAGUCUUGUUUCUUUUCCGGAUGUUGGUCUGCCACCUUGUCUCCAAGUCAUAGAAAUUUGGUACUGCGGAUCUCUUUCACACUUCGCAAAAUACCAGAUUUCUCCCAGCCUAAAAAAAAUAGAGAUCAGGAAUUGUGGGAAUUUGAAGUCAUUAAUAGAGAAAGAGGAGGAGGUGGGUAACGG